AUGGAGCUCUUCCUCUACGCAACGUACGCCCUCCUCCUCGUCUUCUCUCUGUACGUCCUCCGCCACUUCGCCGGCGCCCGCCGCAACCUGCCGCCGGGUCCCCCAUCAUGGCCUCUCAUCGGAAACCUCCUCGACCUCGGCGCCCAGCCGCACCGCUCCCUCGCGCGCCUCGCGGAGCGCCACGGCCCGCUCAUGACGCUCCGCCUCGGCGCCCUCACCACCGUGAUCGCCUCCACCGCGGACACCGCCCGCGACGUCCUCCAGCGCCACGACGCCGCCUUCUCCGCGCGCUCCGUGUCCGACGCCGCCCGCGCGUGCGCCUACGACAGCCUCUCCAUGGGCUGGCUCCCGCCCAGCAGCCCCCACUGGCGCGCCCUCCGCAAGCUCUGCUCGGGGGAGCUCUUCGCGCCGCACCGCCUCGACGCGCACCAGUCCAUCCGCCGCGAGAAGGUGCAGCAGCUCGUGUCCCACGUCGCCCGGCUGUCGCGGGAGGGCGCGGCCGUGGACGUCAGCCGCGUCGUUUUCACCACCGCGCUGAACCUGCUCUCCUGCACCAUAUUCUCAGCCGACAUCGCCGACCUCGACGACAGAGAAGGAACGGGGCAGUUCAGGGCCGUGAUCGCGAGCUUCACGGAGGUCGUCGGCCUGCCCAACCUGUCGGACUUCUUCCCUGCUGUCGCGCCGCUCGACCCACAGCGGCUGAGGAAGCGCCUCGCCGCGGUGUUCAUGCGGCUGCAUGCCAUAUUCGAUGAGCAGAUCGAGAGGCGCAUGCGGCAGCGCACCGCCGGCGAGCCGCCCAAGGAUGAUUUCCUGGACGUGUUGCUGGACUACCGCGGCCUGGAGGAUGGCCGGGGACUCGAUCGGGAGAUGCUGCGCGCACUACUUGCGGAUUUGUUUAUAGCUGGAAGUGAUACAAGUGCAACAACCUUUGAGUGGGCAAUGGCUGAGCUGCUACAAAACCCAUCAGCCAUGGCAAAAACUCGUGAAGAACUUGCACAAGUGAUUGGCUCCAAAUCAGAAAUCGAGGAAUCAGACAUUUGCCGACUCGAGUACCUCCAGGCUGUGGUGAAAGAAGUGUUCCGCCUUCACCCUCCCGCUCCAUUCUUGAUACCCCGCCAAGCCGAAGCGACCACACAGGUAAAGGGUUACACUGUGCCAAAGGACGCGCGCGUGAUGGUGAACGUCUGGGCGAUUGGCCGAGACAACGAGUUGUGGUCUGAACCAGAGAGGUUCUUGCCGGAGAGGUUCUUGGGGAAAGACAUGGAUUACCGAGGCCGAGAUUUUGAGCUCCUUCCAUUUGGUUCCGGCCGACGAAUCUGCCCAGGGAUGCCGUUGGCUGUGCGCAUGGUGCAUCUGAUGCUUGCGACACUGUUGUAUCGGUUUGAGUGGAGACUUACAAGAGAAGCGGAGGAGAAUGGAGUGGACAUGCGGGAGAAGUUUGGGAUAGUGCUAGCAUUAGCCACCCCUCUCCAGGCCAUAGGUGAACCGGUUUAA
rnacentral:rRNA from 1 species